ACGCUCGACACCUACGUGAGGCAGCAGUGGGGAAUAUUGCACAAUGGGGGAAACCCUGAUGCAGCGACGCCGCGUGAGCGAAGAAGUAUUUCGGUAUGUAAAGCUCUAUCAGCAGGGAAGAAAAUGACGGUACCUGACUAAGAAGCACCGGCUAAAUACGCGCCAGCAGCCGCGGUAAUCUGAGCGGGCUGGCAAGGC
rnacentral:rRNA from 1 species